UACGGGGGGGGCAAGCGUUGUUCGGAAUUACUGGGCGUAAAGGGUUCGUAGGUGGCCUGCUAAGUCAGACGUGAAAUCCCUCAGCUCAACUGGGGAACUGCGUCUGAGACUGGCAGGCUUGAGUGCAGGAGAGGAACGCGGAAUUCCAGGUGUAGCGGUGAAAUGCGUAGAUAUCAGGAGGAAUACCGAUGGCGAAGGCAGCCCCCUGGGUCGAUACUGACGCUCAUGCACGAAAGCGUGAGGAGCAAACAGG
rnacentral:rRNA from 1 species